rnacentral:rRNA from 1 species
GACGAACGCUGGCGGCGUGCUUAACACAUGCAAGUCGAACGGAAAGGCCUCUUUCGGGGGGUACUCGAGUGGCGAACGGGUGAGUAACACGUGAGUAACCUGCCCUUGACUUUGGGAUAACUUCAGGAAACUGGGGCUAAUACCGGAUAGGAGCUCCUGCUGCAUGGUGGGGGUUGGAAAGUUUCGGCGGUUGGGGAUGGACUCGCGGCUUAUCAGCUUGUUGGUGGGGUAGUGGCUUACCAAGGCUUUGACGGGUAGCCGGCCUGAGAGGGUGACCGGCCACAUUGGGACUGAGAUACGGCCCAGACUCCUACGGGAGGCAGCAGUGGGGAAUAUUGCACAAUGGGUGGAAGCCUGAUGCAGCAACGCCGUGUGCGGGAUGACGGCCUUCGGGUUGUAAACCGCUUUCGCUCAUGACGAAGCUUUGUGUGACGGUAGAGGGUAAAGAAGCACCGGCUAACUACGUG